AAGGCUUUGCCUCUGGAGGAGUCGGGUGCUAGUGCGGCCUGGUUUUCGGUGAGUUUCUGCUUCGGUUCGCACGAGCCUGUCUAGGCCUGCCUGUGGACCGGACUGUCAUCGAUCGCGCCCUCCAUCCUUCAGCGACCCAAGUGAGCCACACGACUGCAGUGUGCAUAGGUGAUCUGUGCGGCGCGCGCCGGGCGGGGCCUUUUCGUCCUUGGCAAACCUGAUAUGCUUCCGCGCUGGUUGGAAGAAAAUCUGUUCCUGCCCUGUCCUUCCACGAGAAUGGGAAGACCACCGGGGAAGUUAGCAGUUGCAGCCGCUGUCAUUAUUGAGUACUUAUAUUACCAAGCUGUUUGAUAAUCGCUGCUUAGGUGUUAUCCCCAUUUCACAGGUGAGGAGACUGAAGAUAGCAGUAAUUUUCCAAGGCCAAACAGCAGGUAAGUUGUAAAGUCAGUAUGAGUCCAGAUCGCUCCCGGUCUCCUGAUUUCAGGUCUUUAACGUGCAAGGUCUACGUUUCAGCUUAGUCCAAAUCUUUCCUUCUGACUCCUUUACUUAACAUGUAUUGUUCCAUUCACUGUUUGCAGCAAACAUGGGUCAGGUUUUAUGCUAACAACUGAGAAUACAGAAAUCAGAAUUCUCUGCCCUCCAGAGCCAUCACCCACCUUGACUUCCUGCUCAUCAGGUUUUUACGCUUAUUUCCUGACCACACUUCUUUCUCCCUCAGGAAAGAUAUGCUGGGAUCCUUGAAACAUAGUCUGUGCCUAGCGUAUGCUGUUUUUCCUGCCAGGAAGCUACCCAGCCUUCCCCUCAGUUUGAUUCCAUGAACACAUUUGGAAAAUUCCCCUGAUCUACUUCUCAUGAGACAGAAAAAUUGAUACAAUUUCCUGAAGAUACACAGCUAGUGAGUAGUAAAUACCUGAAUUAGGAUUCCAAGGUAGGUAUUUGAUUCUUCUGCACAUGCUCCUCAAAGUUUGAAUUCCCACAGCCUUUAUUAGAUCAUUUAUCACACUUUAUAGUAAUUACCUAGUUAACAGUCGAUUCUCAUUCCUCUCGCAGAUUGAGCUUCUGAGUGGGAGGGACUGUAUUUUAUUGAUCCUGGCAUUUCUAACUUCUCGAAUAUUCUCUCAAAGGGAAGGAAUUAGUAACUGUCAUGUGGUUGAGUGGGUGGAUUGAUGUAUUGUCAGACAGAUGUAAAUAAGUUUUCAACUGUCAAAAGUUGUGAUUAGUCAUCCCAAUCUCAUUUUCAGAAAUAGGGCACCUGAGGCUUUUUUGUCUUUCAGACUUAUUAUUAAGGUGAGCAAGUUUGUAUGUUUAAUGAUUUAUAGUUUUGAACUUAAUCUGUAUUCUUAUUUUUACAGAUAAAGAAACAACUCAGGUUUGACCAAGAUCACCCAAGUAGGGGUUGGGGAGUUGGAAGCCACUAUGACUGAUUCCAAAGUAGUACAGUGCUUGUAGUCACAAUUAAGAAUGGUAAAGGCUUUAAAUUUUCUUUGCUGUGUUAUAUGGAGUGAAUAAACUAAAAGAAUGACAGGAAGAAUCAGAAAGUACAAAAACCAAAAUGUCCCAAAAUAAAUGUAAAAGGAUUUAAAAAUAAAAGCAAAAGUUAAUAAAACCAAAAUUGAUCAUAAUAGCUAAUAUUUGAAAAGAGCAAUAAGUAGAUACUAUUAGCAAAUUGACAGAAAAAAAAAUUUACAAAAAGGGUACAUGUUCGAAGGAAAUUUCAAAAAUCAGAAGUGAAUUAUUUUUAAGCCCUUACACUAGCAGUGUUAAGAGAAUGUCCCAUAAUAGUUUGGUCCCAACAAAAGGCACCAUGAACAAAGCAUAAAGAAGAGUAAUGUGCUUCUUAACUAUGAAGGUGGCAGAAGCCAAACAACCCUAAACCUGUCAAAAUUUUGAAUAUACAAUAUCUAUGAGCCAGAUACUAUCUGGUUGUAAAAUCUUCAAAAUAACUUGCUCAUUCACUCACUACAAUAUUUGAUAAUAGUCAUAAGUAAUAUAAUGGCUAAAUAAAUUAUACCACACUUACACAAUACAAAUUAUACUAGUAGAAAUGCAGAUCUAUGCAUUAAUCAGCAUGGAAAGAAUUUUAAGAUGUAGGUGAUGAAAAAAAGGCACAAAACAAUAUAAUUUUAAAAGUUUAUAAAAGUAUUUUUAAUUUGGAAAAUAAAUUUGAGUUGUUAAUUCUGUGUACUUUAUAGAAGGUAGGUGUAAGACUUUUUUUUAUUAUUAUUUGACGGAGUUAGAGAGAGAGAGAGAGGUCUUCCUUCCCUUGGUUCACUCCUCAAAUGGCCGCCACGGCCGGCACUGCGCCAAUGCGAAGCCAGGAGCCAGGUGCUUCUUCCUGGUCUCCCAUGCGGGUGCAGGGGCCCAAGCACUCGGGCCAUCCUCCACUGCCCUCCCAGGCCACAGCAGAGAACUAGACUGGAAGAGGAGCAACCGGGACUAGAAGCCGGUGCCCAUGUGGGAUGCCGGCGCAUGCUGCAGGCGGGAGGAUUACACAAGUGAGCCACGGCACUGGCCCCGGUGUAAGACUUUUUUAUAUUGGCAUUAUUGAAAAAUUUUAAUCCAUAGUAAAAAUAAAGAAAAACAUGAAUUGUCGCAUAAAGUAAAAGAAGUUAGUUUUUUUAAGAUUUAUUUAUUUGAAAUGCAGCAGGGUUGAGGAGGGUAGGGAUCAUGCAUCCAACUGGUUCACUCACCAGAGGGCAGCAAUAACCAGGUCUGAGCCAGGCUGAAGCCAGGAGCGGGGAACACCAUCCAGGUCUAAGAGCACAAGCACUUGGGCCAUCUUCCACUGCCUUCUCUGGCCCAUUAGCAGGAAACUGGAUGAGAAGCUGAGCAGCCAAGACAAAUGGAAGGGCUGGCACUGUGGUAUGGGGGUGAAGCCAGUGCCAGUUCGAGUCCUGGCUGCUCCUCUUCCCAUCCAGCUCUCUGCUAUGGCCUGGAAAGGCAGUAGAAGAUGGCCCAAGUGCUUUGGGCCCCUGUGUGGAGGCCCAGAAGCUCCUGGCUCCUGGCUUCAGAUCAGCUCAGCUCUGGCUGUUGCAGUCAUUUGGGGAGUGAACCAGUGAAUGGCAGACCUCUCUCUGUCUCUGUCUAUCUCUGCCUCUUUUUUGUGUAACUCUGACUUUAAAAAAAAAAAAAAAAAAAAAAAAAAGACUCAAAUGGACACUGAAGCAGUGGCUUAACCCACUGCAGCACAAUGCUGGCAUUAGGCCAGGACAGAUUAAGCUAAGAAAAAUACACUGGUUUCAUUAAGGAUUUAUUGAUAAUACUAAGGAGAGCUGUUUUAAUUGUCAAACGCAAAAGCCAGAUUGUACAAGAUUUCAAAGUAAGUGACUGAAGGAAAUUUCUCUAAUGGGCAUCCAGCAUUUCAGAGGAAUCCUUUGUGGAGUAGGAGGCUAUGGUUCCAGUUAGUAAAAAUGUCUAGUCUUUUUUUUUUUUUUUUUUUUUGACAGGCAGAGUGGACAGUGAGAGAGAGAGAGAAAGGUCUUCCUUUGCCAUUGGUUCACCCUCCAAUGGCCGCCGCGGCCAGCACGCUGCGGCCGGCGCACCGCGCUGAUCCGAUGGCAGGAGCCAGGAGCCAGGUGCUUCUCCUGGUCUCCAAUGGGGUGCAGGGCCCAAGCACUUGGGCCAUCCUCCACUGCACUCCCGGGCCACAGCAGAGAGCUGGCCUGGAAGAGGGGCAACCGGGACAGAAUCCGGCGCCCCAACCGGGACUAGAACCCGGUGUGCCGGCGCCGCUAGGCGGAGGAUUAGCCUAGUGAGCCGCGGCGCCGGAGAAAAUGUCUAGUCUUCUGCCUCUCCAUUUUUCCAAAGUUGGGGGAUAAGCAAGAUAUCUUUGUUAUUCCUACAUAAAUCAGCACCCCAGGGAUACUUUUUAUCUAUUUAGUCAGCCCCUACCUGUCCUUCAAAGUGCCCUCAUCUCAGAGAGCUGACCCUAUUUAAGAUUAGAAGAGAACUUCCCACUUCUUUAGAGAAGUUCAGGACCUUUCUGGACAUUACCCUCCUGAUUUCCCAUUUCUGCCUCCAAUUUACCUUUUAGUCAGCUGUAUCUUUGCAUUUAUAGGCAUGGUUAGAUCUCUCCAUAGAUCUUCCUGAAUAUUUUUUAUAUACCUCUACCAGGACACUUACUUGAUGCAAAAGGCCAGCCAACUGGAAAACAAAGAGAAUUCAGAAUCCUGUAUUUUGGAUUAGGCUCUUAGAUGAGUUUUUAAUUUUCACUGCGUAAUUUGUUUCCCCAAAACUUAUUUUUAGUUGUAAAUGAUUACUUUCCAGGCAUCAAAGUUGAAAGUUUUAAAUAUGAGAAUAACACUUCACUAAAAUUAAACCAUGGCAACAGUUAUAAUGAAAUGUCUGAAUUAAAAAAAAAAACAGUAUUACUAUUAUUUGUACUCACAAACUCCAACUCUUAAUUCAAAAGACAACAUUCCAUCUUCCCUGGGGUUUCCUUCAGCCUCCCUUGCCGCACCUCCAGUGCAGAUUACUAGCUCUAGCUUCCAGAGCUAUAUAUUGAAUAUUACUUUUACAUUUUUGGGGGCUAAAAUCUGGUGUUGAUUUCUGAAUUAGUUACCAGAUCAACUCUGUAGCAUCUUAAAUACUUCAGAAAAUUCACAGAAAAAUGGAAUUAAAAGGUUAGUUUUAGUGCAAAAAUAUUUUGAAAGCCAAUUUCCUUAUGAUAUAUAUUUCCCAUGAAUUUUUGACAGCUCUCCAUGUUAGAAGUGCCCUAGAAUGAGAAUAAAUGGCACUCUUCAGAGAUGAACAAUCUCUUAACAUUCUAAUGCACAGCCAAAUUUGGGGCAUAUUCAGAUCACUACAUCUGACCUCCUACCUCAAAGAGAAAGUAGGAGCUGAACUCCUACCUGUUAAUAGUGAUCACCCCAGGCAAUGUACUGUGUCUGUCAUUCCAAAGCUAAUCCUUCUUGUGCUAUUAAUACCAUCUCAUUCCAGCCUGAGGCCAUUGUUAUCAGUCACUUCUGUCCACCCAAUUUUAUCUUCUGAACUCCUUUUAACAUACUGGAGUAAGUACUUCAAAAAUUUUGUGGAAAAUGAAAUUAAAAGUUAAUUUUGGUGACAAAAUUUUUGAAAUCCACCCACACAGAGGUCUUCAGAGUUCAUGAAAAUAUGUUUUAUGAAAAAAACAGACUUCAAAGAUUUUGGCACCAAAAACAUCUUUUAAUAAAAUUUCUUAUUUUUUGAAAAACUUCAUAGACAUGCUAAUGUCUCUAGUUGUUUUUAUUCUAACUACAAUUUAAUCUCUACAGAUAAAUUUCAUAAAUUUGUAAUUCUUGCUCUUUUGUUAUCUCCAUCCUCAUUACCCAUUGCACCUAUUUUUGGUACCCAUAUUCAGCUGUUCUUAGAAUAUUUCUCUGUUCUAAUCUUACUGUAUUUUGUUGACUAGCCAUCCCUUGAAAAUUGUUUUACCAGUUUGUCCAUUCACUUCUUUCUUACCUCCCUAUCCACCAGUCUUUGUUCCCAGGGACCUGUCCUAGACCCUCCUCCCUCUAUGUGCAUAACUCUUGUUACACUUGUAUGUUUAAAUGUAGCCAUCCUUUUGAACAUUUUUGUUCAUACCUAUAUUUUUGGGUUCACAGAUACCAACAAUUCUAUCAUAGCAGUGAUCAUGUAUAUCUGUAAGUUCAGCUAUUACAUAAUGUGCUUAAAAUCAAAUCCAAUAGGCUUCUCUGCAGAAUGUGAUCAUCUCUAAAAUUUAAUUUUACUGAUUCUUUCAAAAAACAAAAAC